rnacentral:rRNA from 1 species
UAAGCUGAGGAAAAGAAACCAACAGGGAUUGCCUCAGUAACGGCGAGUGAAGCGGCAAGAGCUCAACUUUGGAAUCGCUCCGGCGAGUUGUAGUCUGGAGGCGGCCGGUCCGCCUUGCGCAACCAAAUCUAAGUCCUCUGGAACGAGGCGCUUGAAAGGGUGACAGCCCCGUGGAUUUUUGUUGUUGUGCUUGGCCCCUGGUCUGCCGACGAGUCGAGUUGUUUGGGAAUGCAGCUCUAAGUGGGUGGUAAAUUCCAUCUAAAGCUAAAUACCGGCGAGAGACCGAUAGCGAACAAGUACAGUAAUGGAAAGAUGAAAAGCACUUUGAAAAGAGAGUGAAACAGUACGUGAAAUUGUUGAAAGGGAAGGGCUUGCAGCUAGACAACUGUCAGCAUCGGGUGGAGCGGAACUAAAAGUGGGAGCUGAUGUAGCAACCCCCCCGGGGUUGCAUUAUACAACUCUCAGAUGGUUCCUGCUUCGCCCGAGGAUCGCCUAUUUGAAGGAUGCUGGCGCAAUGGCUGCAAGCCACCCGUCUUGAAAAAAAAGGACCUAA